GGCGACGUGGCCAAGUGGUAAGGCAGGGCUCUGCAAAAGCUCCAUCACCGGUUCGAAUCCGGUCGUCGCCUCAA
rnacentral:tRNA from 1 species